rnacentral:rRNA from 1 species
GACGAACGCUGGCGGCGCGCUUAACACAUGCAAGUCGAGCGAGAACCAGGGCUUCGGCCCUGGGGACAGCGGCGAACGGGUGAGUAACACGUGGAUAACCUGCCCUCGGCACCGGGAUAGCCCGAGGAAACUCGGAUUAAUACCGGAUAGCCCCUCCGACUCUCGGGUCGGUCCGAAAAGGUAGCUUCGGCCUCUGGCCGAGGAUGGGUCCGCGGCGGAUUAGCUUGUUGGUGGGGUAAUGGCCUACCAAGGCUCGAUCCGUAGCUGGUCUGAGAGGACGAUCAGCCACACUGGGACUGAGACACGGCCCAGACUCCUACGGGAGGCAGCAGUGGGGAAUCUUGCGCAAUGGGCGAAAGCCUGACGCAGCGACGCCGCGUGAGGGAUGACGGCCU